GGAACAGGAAGAUGAUAACAUCUAGGCUGACUUCAGAAGGUUGUCCAGCAGUCUUGGAACUCACAGGACAAAAAUUCUACAGUUACGCCAAAGUUCACCAUACCAGGUCACCAAUCUAUGGACAGGGUCAGCAACAACCGCAGCCUAGCACACUCGUCUCCCGGUGCUAACAACAGGAUGCUGGAGGAAGGGCAGAACAACAUCAACGCCGUUAGCCAAGUCUCUGGAGGCACGUUGCACCGCAGCUCGGCCAGCAGCAACAUCAGCGCCAUCAACAGCCCUGAACAGCAGCAACCGCCCUCGCAGCACCACUCCAACAAGCUCCAGCGGACCCCAAGCCACCUGAAGAGCGGCCAAGCGGCCCAGAACGGACCCCAUCGCCGAACUUGGGCUCACAGCCGGAGGCCGGGACAUUACUCGGUCGAGCGUUUACAGUGCGUUUCCGGACGACAUCUAUGAGUCCAUCGACGGUGAUGCCUCCUCGGUCGAUCGCCUGUCCGACGUCCCGCCACCGCCCGCGCCUCCCCAAUCCGAGGCGUUCUACGGAGACUUGUCCGACAUGAGCCAGCACUCCUCAUCCAGCUACGGCUACGACCAGCGGCCCUUGCUCGUCACGAAAUUGCCGGGCAAGUACCAGGACACACCCCUGGCACACGUCAUGCAGGGCUUUGCAAGGGACUACGCCACGUCUUCGCCAGAAAUGCCACGCUAUGGUACGGAGCAGCAGAUGCACUAUGGCUCAGGCCGACGCAAGCACGACAUCGUUGGCUUCAAUGGGUCUCCUUACUCACCCUUACUCACGAGGCUGCCCUGGCGCAGAGGCUAGAAGACGCCCCGACAAACUUCUCCUCGGACUCGGGCAUGGUCGCCGACAGCGAGGAUUGCUGGGGCACAUCACCGACGCUGCCGGACUUGUUGCACGGCCCCGUGGAGAGCAACACUGUGGUGAUGGCGGUGCUGGACGGUGAAAAAUGUGGUGAGCAGGAUUCGUCCGGAUGCCAUGAUGACGACACCAUCGCAUCCGAGAUUGCUGCUGCUGCUGCUGC
rnacentral:lncRNA from 1 species